GUCCACGCCCUAAACGAUGUCAAUUAGCUGUUGGGGGUUAGAAUCCUUGGUAGCGUAGCUAACGCGUGAAAUUGACCGCCUGGGGAGUACGGCCGCAAGGUUAAAACUCAAAGGAAUUGACGGGGCCCGCACAAGCGGUGGAUGAUGUGGAUUAAUUCGAUGCAACGCGAAAAACCUUACCUGCUCUUGACAUGUACGGAACUUGCCAGAGAUGGCUUGGUGCCCGAAAGGGAGCCGUAACACAGGUGCUGCAUGGCUGUCGU
rnacentral:rRNA from 1 species